AUGUGUGCGUGCAACCUGCAGGAGAUUCCGGCCGAGCACCGGGGCGACGCGGUGAGCAGCCUGGUGUACGAGGCGAACGCGCGCGUGCGCGACCCCAUCUACGACUGCGUCGGCGCCAUCACGUCGCUGCAGUGGCAGGUGGAGUCGCUGCAGACCCAGCUCGCGCUGGCGCAGGCCGAGAUGGUCAGGCUCAGGAUGGCCAACGCCUACGGCGGCGGUGGAAGCAACGCCAGCGGCUCGCCGUCCUCCAUGUCAUCGCCGACCAAGGCCACACCAGAUCAUCACAUGGCGGUCGACCAGUCCGGCAUGAUGGAGCUGGUGCUGGAGUGCUCCAGGUUCUGGUCCUACUGA
rnacentral:rRNA from 1 species